rnacentral:rRNA from 1 species
GACGAACGCUGGCGGCGUGCUUAACACAUGCAAGUCGAACGGAAAGGCCCUGCUUUUGUGGGGUGCUCGAGUGGCGAACGGGUGAGUAACACGUGAGUAACCUGCCCUUGACUUUGGGAUAACUUCAGGAAACUGGGGCUAAUACCGGAUAGGAGCUCCUGCUGCAUGGUGGGGGUUGGAAAGUUUCGGCGGUUGGGGAUGGACUCGCGGCUUAUCAGCUUGUUGGUGGGGUAGUGGCUUACCAAGGCUUUGACGGGUAGCCGGCCUGAGAGGGUGACCGGCCACAUUGGGACUGAGAUACGGCCCAGACUCCUACGGGAGGCAGCAGUGGGGAAUAUUGCACAAUGGGCGGAAGCCUGAUGCAGCAACGCCGCGUGCGGGAUGACGGCCUUCGGGUUGUAAACCGCUUUCGCCUGUGACGAAGCGUGAGUGACGGUAAUGGGUAAAGAAGCACCGGCUAACUACGUGCCAGCAGCCGCGGUGAUACGUAGGGUGCGAGCGUUGUCCGGAUUUAUUGGGCGUAAAGGGCUCGUAGGUGGUUGAUCGCGUCGGAAGUGUAAUCUUGGGGCUUAACCCUGAGCGUGCUUUCGAUACGGGUUGACUUGAGGAAGGUAGGGGAGAAUGGAAUUCCUGGUGGAGCGGUGGAAUGCGCAGAUAUCAGGAGGAACACCAGUGGCGAAGGCGGUUCUCUGGGCCUUUCCUGACGCUGAGGAGCGAAAGCGUGGGGAGCGAACAGGCUUAGAUACCCUGGUAGUCCACGCUGUAAACGGUGGGUACUAGGUGUGGGGUCCAUUCCACGGGUUCCGUGCCGUAGCUAACGCUUUAAGUACCCCGCCUGGGGAGUACGGCCGCAAGGCUAAAACUCAAAGGAAUUGACGGGGCCCCGCACAAGCGGCGGAGCAUGCGGAUUAAUUCGAUGCAACGCGUAGAACCUUACCUGGGUUUGACAUGGAUCGGGAGUGCUCAGAGAUGGGUGUGCCUCUUUUGGGGUCGGUUCACAGGUGGUGCAUGGCUGUCGUCAGCUCGUGUCGUGAGAUGUUGGGUUAAGUCCCGCAACGAGCGCAACCCUUGUUCACUGUUGCCAGCACGUUAUGGUGGGGACUCAGUGGAGACCGCCGGGGUCAACUCGGAGGAAGGUGGGGAUGACGUCAAGUCAUCAUGCCCCUUAUGUCCAGGGCUUCACGCAUGCUACAAUGGCUGGUACAGAGAGUGGCGAGACCUGUGAGCGGUGAGCUGAAUCUUCGGAAACGCCGGUCUCAGUUCGGAUUGGGGCCUGCAACUCGACCUCAUGAAGUCGGAGUCGCUAGUAAUCGCAGAUCAGCAACGCUGCGGUGAAUACGUUCCCGGGGCU